CACGUAGGGGGCAAGCGUUAUCCGGAUUUACUGGGCGUAAAGCGCGCGCAGGCGGCACUCUAAGUACGUCGUGAAAUAUCCCGGCUCAACCGGGAGGGUGCGAUGUAGACUAGGGAGCUAGAGGUCGGUAGAGGGGGGGUGGAAUUGCUGGUGUAGCGGUGAAAUGCGUAGAGAUCAGCAAGAACACCCGUGGCGAAGGCG
rnacentral:rRNA from 1 species